GCUUCUGAGCUGAGAGCGAAAUGACGAGAACUCAGUCACCCCAACGCCCUGUUCUUUGCUCCACCAGCUUGCCAUGCGAAUAGCUCUGUCGCUUUAAUAAUUCCAUGUCAAGGAAUUGCUUUCAAUCCUCUUGGGUGUAAUACAAGAGGAUCAGAGGGAUGUUACAGACCAGAAGGCUGGGCAGAGAGAAUAAAAUGAAAGUGACGGCUGUGCGGGUAACCAAGUGAAAUUUCAGAGCUUUUUUUCUAGCAUCCAGAAGACCAGGAUGUCUGUCUAAUGAGCAAAAAUUCUUGUGACUGCAGCAGGAAGAAAAAUCUCUGAAUUGCUUCCACCUUCCUUAGAAUUUUAUUUGGAUUAUUUAAGACGGGGUUAGGCGGUUUUGGACUGUGUUGAAGUGGAAUCCUGAGAUUGCCAAGUCUUGGACUGUGCCUUAAUUGCAUUUUUGACAUUCACUUAACUUCUGAAUACAAUACAAACCAAUCCUUCAUUGUUAGAAGAAGGAUUCUUAUAGACUUUUGUAAACUGACGUGUGUUUUCUCCGAUAUAUUUUUAUAGCUUGGGAAAUACUUUACAGAUUUUGACAGCUGCUACGGCAGAAAGUCUCUAAAAUUCCCCUCCCUGCCCUGCUAUUUUCCUGGUGAUGUUGGAAGUUUUUAACUGGAGGAAUUACAAGUAUCCUUGUGGAAAAUGAAGAAACAGAGCCCUCUGUUUUGAGUCGGACGGCAGACUUCUGACUUCCCAAGACAAUCCCAGAAGGACUCCACAGUAAAAAAAAUUACUUGCAUCCUGUGCCAGAAGUAACAGCAAGAAUGCCAGUGAAGAAGAAAGACACUGAUCGAGCUUUAGCACUUCUGGAAGAUUAUUGCAAGAGGCUAAAAAAGCCAGAGGAGCAGCAACUGAAAAAAGCCAUUAAGAAGGUGAUGGGCAUCUUUAAAAGCAGCUUGUUCCAGGCGUUGCUAGUUCCUGCAGAGGGAAAAAACAAACACGUUUGAAAUUCUUCGAGCAACAUUUUCUGCAUAGAAUCUCUACAGGCCUGGGGAUGUUGACUCUUCUGGUCUGGUCCACUGGCAUGGAUGUCCUUUCAUCUACUCACCCAGAUAUCUGUUUCAUGAAAAUGAGAAGCAGAAGAAAGAAAUGGAGUGCAAAUUAGUUGGGUCACUCAGAUCUUAGGGUAGCUUGAAGGGAACAGGCUGUCAUCUUGGAAGCUGUGACUUCAGGAUCAGUACUAAAAGGUUUGUUCUCACUGCUGCAUCUUCAAACAGCGACCAGAGAUUUUGUCUGCUCUGCUUGCAACAUGUUCAUUCGUUGACUGAGAGGAGUCACGCUGAAGAGUCAAAUUAGAGUCUAACACUGUUUUUCCCCAGAUAUCUCUGUUCUUGCUAUGGCAGUAAAUGUUCUCCCUCCCAUGCCACAGCCUAUCUCAGUCAAGGCCUUUCAGAUACGUUAAUUCCCCACAAUCCUCAUUUAAAGGAUAUACUGGUUGGGCAUUAUGGGCAUUGUAGUUUAACAUGUCUGGAAGGCACCUGGUUGGGGGAGGCUGGGUUUUCGUACAGUUUCUCCUCAUGCUUCCUGCCACUUGAAAAAGUGACUCUCAAAUUGUUGUUGCCCUUUAAGGGUCUCGAACCCAAACUUAGCCACUGAAAAAUACAUAUCUUACCGAGCUCCCAGCUGGUUUUUCAUGCUCAUGGAAUAUCACACGUGUUUGGGUAUGAAUGCUUUGAGUAAACCUGUGGAAAAUUCAGCCAGCCAACCAACCAACCAACAACAAAAGCAAGAAAAGUAUCUGUCUAUUCCAUACAUCCAGAGAUAGAUCUCUUUGUGCACCUUUGAGCCCAAAUGCUGAGACCUUAGGUUGGAGUUUCAGCAUCAUCCUAUGAUGCAACCAUCUUCAACCUUUCCAUAUGGGCAUUCCUUUCACCAAGAAUCACUUCUUCCCCCCCCCCCUUUUAAUUCCCAAAAUAAAGUUAUUCCCUUUUAAAAGUUAUAUAGUAUAAUCCUUCACCUUUCCAAAAUGAUUGUGGAGCCCCAUAAGGUGAGCCAUGCUACACUGACAGCAUGACCCAGCUUAAGGUUAUGGGCUUAAUAGCUGGCCACAGAUAUGAACAAGGCCUCAGGCUUGCAAGUUGUACCCACUUUUCAUAUGUGUUGAGAUGCAGAGCUGUUCAGAGUUGAUGGUCCCUGGGAAAGCAUCUUAGAUCUGUGGUGAGCUUCUCCUUGUAAGUUCCUCAGCUUGGGCUGUUAGGACAUCUCUUUCCAUUAAGCACUAUUUCCCUUUCCAACAAUGCCCACAUUAUUCCAGAAUAGUUUCUGGAGCCCGAAGUAGGGCACUGAACCCUAUGUGGCUUUGGUAUUCUUGAACAAUUGCAAGGAUGCUACACACUCAUGCUCAGCCUAUGUGGAGAUCAAAAGCUUCUAAGUAUACAUUGAACUAACAGUUACACUCCAAAUCCAGGAACAGUGCUUUGUUGUGAUGCACUAACAAAGCGUGAUACCUAACUAUGGAUUAGCUUGCCUUUUUUAAUUAUCCAUUUUUAAAACAAAUAGAGCAUCGUGAUUUCAGGUAGUCCUCACUUACCGACCACUCGUUCAGCAACCGUUCGAAGUUGUGACAGCACUGAGCAAGUGGUACUUACAAUCGGUCCUCGAAGUUCUGGCCAUUGCACCACCCCUGCAAGUCACGCGAUCGCAAUUCGGGCAUUUGGCAACUGGCUCGUACUUACGAUGGUUGCAGUGCCCCGCGGUCACCUGAUGGCCAUUUGCAUCCUUCCCUGCCGGCCUCCCACAAGCAAAGUUAAAAAGUGAGAACAGAACCUUUUGAUACCAUUUGUGUGUGUGCAGAAGAUGACAAAGAUUGAAGGGGAAGCUUGCAAGCCUGAGACAAAUACAGACUCAUUCCUGCAAUGACAAAUUCUGCUUUGUUCAUGAUAACUAAAUUAGAUAAAGAUGGGCUUUCAGUCUUUUUUAAACACUGGAUCAGGGAUCAGAUAAAUGAUUAAUCCUUCAGCUGUCUGUAGAUGCGCUCUGAGAAAUAACCCUCACAUUCUUCUUCCUCUCCCUUCUUACAUAAACAUGUCUUGGAAAGAAAUGGAGAAAAAACACUUGUAGAUGAAAAUUGAUAGGAAGGGCUCUGAAAUCUCCAACACUUAAUUCUCCCCCAUAUAUGGCCCCAGUACCAGAACUGCAACAUGAAGAAAUGUGAGAAUGGAAAGCCUACAGUUGGUCUGUAAUACAGGACACCACCUUUUUAAGAUUCUAACUCACACAAUGAGAACCAACAUAAUGGCGAAGGCACCAGAUUGAGCCUGGGAGGACCCAAAUUGUAAUCCCUCCUGUGACAAUGGACCAGUUUCUUAUUUCUGAAGAUAGUCUACCUCAUGAGGUUGUUAUUGUGAGAAUAAAAUUAGGGGAGACUCUAAUUACAGACUGUGUAAGCUGUCUUGAGAUCCCCCAAGAGAGGAAGGAUUACUUUUAGUAUUAAAAGUAAUUUAAUACUAAAACAAAAUGGAGAAUAGAAUGUGAUAAUGUGAUACCUUUAGCAGCAUGUUGUUAAAAGAGUAUAUUGACACUUUUUGAUUUCUGGCAUAAUUCUCUUAUUGUGUAGAGGAUAUUACACAGUAUGAUAAAAUACUGUCUUUAAAAUGUAAUUUAUGUUUAUGGUACCCAUGACUUUCUGUUAAAUUUCUUUGUUUGACAAAUAUUAAUUGUGGUAUUUUAAAUACAUGUUUUAUUAGAAAUCCAUAGUUUAUUAUAGAAAAUUCUAUUUGAGCCAGCUAUUUCAUAGAUCAAAUGCAUUUAGGAUCAAGACAGUUACACCAAUGAGGAAAAUAUAUUAUUUUGAAAAUACCCUAUGACAUAUUCAGAAGGAAAUGUGAUUAGUGGCUGCUAGAGAGGAUUAAAUCCCUAAGACUUCCUUUUUAUCUGUUGUAUCCCUAAGAAUUGUAUUUAUCUUGGCCUUGUAACUGUAAUUUAUUUUCUAAAAUAACAUUACUAGCUUUAAAUACACGUUUGUCUAAACGGAGAAUGUUAAUGAAACAUUCAGAUGUUAAUAACAAUAA